GUGCUCACUUCGGCAGCACAUAUACUAAAAUUGGAAUGAUGCAGAGAAGAUUAGCAUGGUUCCUGCACAAGGAUGACACACAGAUUCAUGAAGCAUUCCAUAUAUUU
rnacentral:snRNA from 1 species